rfam:Salmo salar isolate Sally breed double haploid chromosome ssa09, whole genome shotgun sequence.
UGCAUUCACUACUGUAAGACGCUCUGGAUAAGAGCGUCUGCUAAAUGACGUAAA